rnacentral:rRNA from 1 species
GACGAACGCUGGCGGCGUGCUUAACACAUGCAAGUCGAGCGGUAAGGCCCUUUUGGGGGUACACGAGCGGCGAACGGGUGAGUAACACGUGGGUGACCUGCCCUCAGCUCUGGGAUAAGCCUGGGAAACUGGGUCUAAUACUGGAUAUGACCUUUCCUCGCAUGGGGUUGGGUGGAAAGUUUUUCGGCUGGGGAGUGGGCCCGCGGCCUAUCAGCUUGUUGGUGGGGUGAUGGCCUACCAAGGCGACGACGGGUAGCCGGCCUGAGAGGGCGACCGGCCACACUGGGACUGAGACACGGCCCAGACUCCUACGGGAGGCAGCAGUGGGGAAUAUUGCGCAAUGGGCGGAAGCCUGACGCAGCGACGCCGCGUGGGGAUGAC